UUGACCCCCCAACAUGACAUUUUAACAGACCAAACUUUAAGGCCUUGUAGAUGCUGCACUGGCUUUUAUAUUUGACAUAUACUGUAUAUAUAUAAAGGCCAAUAGGAUGUUCGUUGUAAAACUAAAAAAUAUGUUGGCACCAUUUAAAUAAUUGAAUUUUAAUUAGCAAUUUUGCCCCACAUAUAUAUCUUUUAAUAGCAAACACAUGAGCAGUUGGUUUCUCCGUAAUUUGCCUCUAUAGCUAAAGCAGCGGAUAAUACUGUCACUAAUCAGCUUAUAUUAACUGAAGCAGUGAGCAGAGUUAUGGUUUAGCAUAGUGACAGAAUGUUAGUGAGGAGAAGAACGUGAAAUCAACGGCUAACGGUCGGAAUUUCGAACGUUCGGAAAUUCGAACGCUAGCUGUUAGAACCGUUGACACUUUUGUAACUGACAGUAACGUUAAAUUCGAACGACCACUGCUGACGUUCUAUUUUUGAAAACUCGGCGUAACCGCCCGAAAAAAAGCUCGUAAUAAAACCAAUAAAACCACUUUCCGUUAGAUUUGAUCACAUGAAAUAGUGCCAGUAAGUCAGCGCAUGUUAAAUGACGUCCGUUGGGUGACAUAUGGCAGUUGUUGACAGCUUCCUGAAGUCACUGGACAUGUCAUCUAUUUCCAAAUCUGAUUUGUCAGUUGGAGUGCUGACUGAUGAAACGGGAUCCAGCAGAGAAGUGUGUUCAUUGCCCUGACACGAAACCAGACACCUACCAGAGAAGAAGGCUUUUUUUAGUUCCGCUUUCUGAGCGUGGCGGACAUCAUUACCCAGAUAACACAUACAGACUCAUCUACAUCUCUCAGAGCUCCUGCCUGCAGCCCAGCUGU